GUCAUUAUGGCUACUGUAUGUAGAUUGAUGGGGGAAAUGUUUUAGAAAUCCAUUUUAGAAUAAGGCUGUAAUGUACCAACAUGUGGAAAAAGUGAAGGGGUCUGAAUACUUUCCAAAGGCACUGUAUGUUUUGCCCAAUAGGAACUGAAUCUGCAAAGCUGUCCACACACAGCAUGUCAUUGUCUGUGGUGUACAGUACCAGAUGAACAUCCAAGCAUCGAAACAACCAACACACCGAAUAUAACGGGUCCAAUCAACGUUUUUUAAUGAUCAUUUGUCCCGUAAAGAAUAUCUUACAAUGUGACAGGACUGGAAUUCAUAAGAACAUCAAUAAAUACGGAUUAAUACUUGAGGACCAGAUUCACUCAGCCAGUCACGUCAUCGUCAUCGUCACACAGUCGUAUCUGUGCUUGUGCCGUCGGUCCCUGUAGCGCUGGUGCGUCCCGGGGGAGGCGAUGUGCUGUCAGAACUGUAAUGUGACACUUCAGGCUUCCCAAAGGAACGUCUCCUUUUGAUGAUGCGUCAGCAGCGGCCGUGUCUCUCCCGUCUGUCUGGUGAACGGGAGCAUUGGGAGCUGUAUGAAUAAGGUCCAUGGAGUCCAAGCAACAAACACGCCAAGAGUUUAAAGGAUUUUGGAAAAAAGUCCCACAGAUUAUUUACAUCACAGAGAGGAGAAGAGGAGGAGUGGAGAGGGGUGCUUUGUGGUCUCGGCUACUACGCGUCUGGACCCCUUGUUUUCCAUUCUCUCCGCUUGUAGCUUCCUUCCUAUAAGAGUACUGGUUUCUUGACAGUGACAAAAUGUUAACUCAGUUUAUAGUAUGCAACGCUCUACUGUACUGUACUGUAUGGAACCAUAUACAAAAAGGGGAAAUUAGCUCUUAACAGCUAAUGCUUAGAAAUCAUUUUAACAUUCCAGAUAAAACUAAUUCUGGGCUAUCAAGGGGAUUGUACAUCAAUUAGGACAGAUUAUAAACUAACAUGUCAACAUGGUUCCCAUAUCUAUGCACGAAGAAUACCUAGUGUUGGUAGAUAUGGGUAACAUUUUCUAUGCUAUGGGAAUAUCAUGUUAAACAAAAGGAAUUGAUCUUGGGGUCAAAACAACCACACAAACACACACAAUGUCAAAAGGGCGUUCUAGAGUUAAAACACACGGGGAGAGAGAACAACCCAAAUUAAAAUGAACCAUGAAAGGAAAGAGUUCAAAAAGCCAGCUUACAAAGACACUGAUGAGGGUAGCUAACAAUAAGCAAAUAUGCAGUAAGCCUAUCAAGUCAUGCUGCCAGUCUCACAGACAACCUAACUCGUACCUCAGACAGACUAACCAUGAAAUCAACGAGCCAUCUCAGUGACAGCAGAUGCAAUAGUCAUUCCCCAGUCUGAUCAGUUUGUCAUUGUCAGAAGGUUAACAUCUGAUAUGGGUAGUAUACAGUUGUACGUAGAAUACAUUCUCUCAUAAAAACAACCACAUUAUCAUAUGUACUAUAGCUGGUCUGGCUUUAUAGAGUAAAUAUCAUUACCCUUGACUUGAGACCUCUCCCAGGGUUAAUAUCAUAACAGGUGACACAUUACCCUCUAGCAGUCAGAAAGCAGGUUUCCUCACCACAGGACCGCGGCUAUGCUGAGAAUCCCAUUGGUUGAUGGCCUUGAGCCAGUCCUGACACAGUGGUGUUUCUGAUGCCUCUGCUGCUACAGAGCUGUCAUCUCAUUCACCAGCACACUGCGGUAGAAAGCAGCUUGUAAUGAGAUGACAGUGACCUACAGUAGAGAGCCGUGUUGCGGUUUAGUGUCGGGAUUACCUGCCCUUACUGGGCUACUGGCGACCAGCACCGAGAGGAGGGGAGAGGAGAGAGAGGACAGGAGGCAUGAAAUGAGGACAGGAGAGGAGGCGAGAGGAGAGAGAGGACAGGAGGCAUGAAAUGAGGACAGGAGAGGAGGCGAGAGAAGAGAGAGGACAGGAGAGGAGAGAGAGGACAGAAGGCGUGAAAUGAGGACAGGAGAGGAGGCGAGAGAGAGAGAGAGGAGAGGAGAGGAGAGAGAGGACAGAAGGCAUGAAAUGAGGACAGGAGAGGAGGCGAGAGAAGAGAGAGGACAGGAGAGGAGAGAGAGGACAGAAGGCGUGAAAUGAGGACAGGAGAGGAGGCGAGAGGAGAGAGAGGACAGGAGGCGUGAAAUGAGGACAGGAGAGGAGGCGAGAGGAGAGAGAGGACAGGAGGCGUGAAAUGAGGACAGGAGAGGAGACGAGAGGAGAGAGAGGACAGGAGGCGUGAAAUGAGGACAGGGGAGGAGGCGAGAGGACAGGAGGUGUGAAAUGAGGACAGGAGAGGAGGCGAGAGAGGUCUAGGCAGAGAAGGAGAGAGGAGAGGAGAUGAGUGGUGGUUCCUGGCUGUUCCGCGGACACUGGCUCGUUUUCUGUUUAGCUGUUCUAAGAACAAUCUCCACUCAUCCACCUAUGCUCAUCUCAUAUUUGUUUGCUAUGCAUGCUUUCCUAAUACUAGUAAUACUAGUAAUACACACACACACACCCUCUGUUUAUACUAAAGUAGUGUAUGUAGUCAUUGAUGGAUGCUUGCUGCUAACACAGGGCUCAGAUGAACUAGAGGUACUCACUCCCUGCUCCUCUCUGCUCCUGCCACACUCCUGUCCUCCUUCUCACACUCCUACAACAGUGUAAAUACAAAAGGGCAAAGUUCUGCAUCAUUACAGCUUGUGCUUCAGAAAACUAACAGUUUCCUUCCUCUCCGGCUGCUCGUCUGUUGCUACCCGAGACAGACGACAGAAAGUGAACUUCUCCAUUGCUCUAACCCUCUGAUCCAAUCACAUGCUACCUGACUGCGCAUCCACUCAUCCACACACUCACGGUUUGCCGACCAUGCAGAGAUAUAGAUACUGCUCUGACGUAGUUCUAAGAAGAUCUCUCUCUAUAUGAGUAUGCAUCUGUGUGUUUCUGUAGACUACCCCCCCCCUUCUCUCUCUCUAUAUAUGAGUAUACAUCUGUGUUUCUGUAGACUACCCCCCCCUUCUCUCUCUCUAUAUAUGAGUAUGCAUCUGUGUG
ensembl:lncRNA